rnacentral:rRNA from 1 species
GAUGAACGCUAGCGAUAGGCUUAACACAUGCAAGUCGAGGGGCAGCGAGGGUAGCAAUACCUGUCGGCGACCGGCGCACGGGUGAGUCACGCGUAUGUAACCUGCCCGCAACAGGGGGAUAACCCGGCGAAAGUCGAACUAAUACCGCAUAAAACAGGGGUACCGCAUGGGAAUAUUUGUUAAAGAUUUAUCGGUUGCGGAUGGGCAUGCGUACCAUUAGGUAGUUGGUGAGGUAACGGCUCACCAAGCCUUCGAUGGCUAGGGGUUGUGAGAGGAAGGUCCCCCACACUGGUACUGAGACACGGACCAGACUGCGACGGAGGGCAGGAGUGAGGUAGAUAAGUCAAUGAGCGCGAGCCUGAACCAGCCAAGUGGCGUGAAGAAGGACUCGCGUAUGGGUUGUAUACUGCUUGUACAAGGGAAUAAUAUGAGAUUCGUGGAUUUUAUUGCAGGUACCUGGAGAAUAAGCAUCGGCUAACUACGUG